UUGAAUAGAGACAGAGGGAGUGAAAGAGAGGUGGAGUAGAGAGACUGAUGCAUAGUAAAGGCUGAUGCUACAUACUGAAGGAGCCAUCACUGCUCCAUCUUCCUCCCCAGAGAACUGCCUUUUCCAGCCAUAGUUACUCACUACUAUGAAGUCCAGGCAGGCAGACAGACAUGGUCCUCAGACUGACUCCCAGACACAGUCAGGAACAUAACGGCCAAAUCCCCUGCCUGGUCUCAAAAGCCAUCAGCUCUGGGACUUUGUGUGUGCCUGGGACCAUGUGUGUGUGCAGCCCUAGCAUGUGUGUGCGCAGCCCUAGCAUGGUAAUUUCCUGCCAUCCUCCCAGAGUCACACAUUGUAAAAGAUUACUUCCCAAGCAAAGUGAAAUUGUUUUGACUCCUGGACUUUAGAAGGUCCUAGCUCAGCUUCCCAUGUGCAUUAGUAGGUCCUAGCUCAGCUUCCCAUGUGCAUUAGAAGGUCCUAGCUCAGCUUCCCAUGUGCAUUAGAAGGUCCUAGCUCAGCUUCCCAUGUGCAUUAGUAGGUCCUAGCUCAGCUUCCCAUGUGCAUUAGAAGGUCCUAGCUCAGCUUCCCAUGUGCAUUAGAAGGUCCUAGCUCAGCUUCCCAUGUGCAUUAGAAGGUCCUAGCUCAGCUUCCCAUGUGCAUUAGUAGGUCCUAGCUCAGCUUCCCAUGUGCAUUAGAAGGUCCUAGCUCAGCUUCCCAUGUGCAUUAGAAGGUCCUAGCUCAGCUUCCCAUGUGCAUUAGAAGGUCCUAGCUCAGCUUCCCAUGUGUAUUAGAAGGUCC